rnacentral:rRNA from 1 species
GACAGAGGCCUCAAGCGUUAGGCGGAAUCACUGGGCUUAAAGCGCGUGUAGGCGGUGCGGUAAGUCCGCUGUGAAAGUCGGGGGCUCAACCCUCGGAUGCCGGUGGAUACUGUCGGGCUUGAGUACGGAAGAGGCGAGUGGAAUUCCUGGUGUAGCGGUGAAAUGCGCAGAUAUCAGGAGGAACACCAAUUGCGAAGGCAGCUCGCUGGGACGUUACUGACGCUGAGACGCGAAAGCGUGGGGAGCAAACAGG